rnacentral:rRNA from 1 species
AACGAACGCUGGCGGCAGGCUUAACACAUGCAAGUCGAGCGCCCCGCAAGGGGAGCGGCCGACGGGUGAGUAACGCGUGGGAACGUACCUUUUGGUUCGGAACAACUCCGGGAAACUGGAGCUAAUACCGGAUAAGCCCUAACGGGGAAAGAUUUAUCGCCGAAAGAUCGGCCCGCGUCUGAUUAGCUAGUUGGUGAGGUAACGGCUCACCAAGGCGACGAUCAGUAGCUGGUCUGAGAGGAUGAUCAGCCACACUGGGACUGAGACACGGCCCAGACUCCUACGGGAGGCAGCAGUGGGGAAUAUUGGACAAUGGGCGCAAGCCUGAUCCAGCCAUGCCGCGUGAGUGAUGAAGGCCUUAGGGUUGUAAAGCUCUUUUGUCCGGGAAGAUAAUGACUGUACCGGAAGAAUAGGCCCCGGCUAACUUCGUG